rnacentral:rRNA from 1 species
CAUAUAUAGCGCGGCGCGGAGCUGGUCAUCCAUAACGCAUCGUUCGAUAUCGGCUUUAUGGAUUAUGAGUUUGGUCUGCUUAAACGCGAUAUUCCUAAAACCAAUACUUUCUGCAAAGUUACCGACAGCCUGGCGUUGGCGCGGAAAAUGUUCCCCGGCAAGCGUAACAGCCUUGAUGCGCUGUGUUCGCGUUAUGAGAUAGAUAAUAGUAAACGUACUUUGCACGGCGCAUUGCUCGAUGCCCAGAUCCUUGCUGAAGUGUAUCUGGCGAUGACGGGCGGGCAAACGUCCAUGACGUUUGCGAUGGAAGGAGAGACGCAACGGCAGCAAGGUGAAGAGACCAUUCAGCGAAUCGUUCGCCAGGCCAGCCGGUUACGGGUCGUUUUUGCCUCUGAUGAAGAGCUGGCUGCGCAUGAAUCGCGGCUUGAUCUGGUGCAGAAAAAGGGCGGAAGUUGCCUUUGGCGGGCGUAAUUUAUUCCUUUUUAGGCUAUAAAAAUCAUCCUUCGGGCGAUUUUUGCAGCAACUGAUUCAAAAGGUGAGAAAAAGCGUUGACGGGCGACACCGCAAACCGUAAUAUUCGCCUCGUUCCCAGCGGGAACAUAACGGAGCGGUAGUUCAGUUGGUUAGAAUACCUGCCUGUCACGCAGGGGGUCGCGGGUUCGAGUCCCGUCCGUUCCGCCACUUAUUAAGAGCCCUGAGCAUUAGUUCAGGGCUUUUUCUUUGCCUGUCAUUUAAUUAUUGCUCAAUUCGCAAAAAUCCUCUGCAUUUCUCGCUCUUUUUCUACAAAGCGCUGAAGGUCAUAAUCCCCUCAGUUAACGAACAUAGUGAUUAAAAAGAGGAAUUCUAUGACUAUCCCUGCAUUCGGUUUAGGUACUUUUCGCCUGAAAGACGACGUGGUUAUCGCUUCUGUGAAAACGGCGCUUGAACUGGGCUACCGUGCUGUCGACACUGCGCAAAUCUAUGAUAAUGAAGUUGCUGUUGGACAGGCGAUUGCUGAGAGCGGCGUACCGCGUAAUGAGCUGUACAUCACCACUAAGAUCUGGAUUGAAAACCUUAGCAAAGACAAGCUGAUCCCAAGCCUGAAAGAGAGCCUGAAAAAACUGCGUACCGAUUAUGUCGAUCUGACGCUGAUCCACUGGCCAUCUCCGGGUGAUGCCGUGUCUGUCGAAGAAUUUAUGCAGGCAUUGCUUGAAGCUAAAAAACAAGGGCUGACUCGCGAAAUUGGCAUUUCAAACUUCACCAUUCCGUUGAUGGAAAAGGCUAUUGCCGCGGUGGGCGUAGACAAUAUCGCCACCAACCAGAUUGAGCUAUCUCCGUAUCUGCAGAAUCGUAAGGUGGUUGACUGGGCGAAAGCGCACGGUAUCCACAUCACCUCUUAUAUGACGCUGGCAUACGGCAAAGCGCUGAAAGAUGAAGUGAUUGCGCGCAUUGCGGCUAAACAUAAUGCGACGCCGGCGCAGGUUAUUCUGGCAUGGGCAAUG